UACCAGCUUGCUGGUAUGAUUAGUGGCGAACGGGUGAGUAAUGCUUAGGAAUCUGCCUAUUAGUGGGGGACAACAUUCCGAAAGGAAUGCUAAUACCGCAUACGUCCUAUGGGAGAAAGCAGGGGAUCGCAAGACCUUGCGCUAAUAGAUGAGCCUAAGUCGGAUUAGCUAGUUGGUGGGGUAGAGGCCUACCAAGGCGACGAUCUGUAGCUGGUCUGAGAGGAUGAUCAGCCACACUGGGACUGAGACACGGCCCAGACUCCUACGGGAGGCAGCAGUGGGGAAUAUUGGACAAUGGGCGAAAGCCUGAUCCAGCCAUGCCGCGUGUGUGAAGAAGGCCUUUUGGUUGUAAAGCACUUUAAGUGGGGAGGAAAAGCUAAUAAUUAAUACCUAUUAGCCCUGACGUUACCCACAGAAUAAGCACCGGCUAACUCUGUGCCAGCAGCCGCGGUAAUACAGAGGGUGCAAGCGUUAAUCGGAAUUACUGGGCGUAAAGCGAGCGUAGGUGGUCAUUUAAGUCAGAUGUGAAAUCCCCGGGCUUAACCUGGGAACUGCAUCUGAUACUGGGUGACUAGAGUAGGUGAGAGGGAAGUAGAAUUCCAGGUGUAGCGGUGAAAUGCGUAGAGAUCUGGAGGAAUACCGAUGGCGAAGGCAGCUUCCUGGCAUCAUACUGACACUGAGGUUCGAAAGCGUGGGUAGCAAACAGGAUUAGAUACCCUGGUAGUCCACGCCGUAAACGAUGUCUACCAGUCGUUGGGUCUCUUGAAGACUUAGUGACGCAGUUAACGCGAUAAGUAGACCGCCUGGGGAGUACGGCCGCAAGGUUAAAACUCAAAUGAAUUGACGGGGGCCCGCACAAGCGGUGGAGCAUGUGGUUUAAUUCGAUGCAACGCGAAGAACCUUACCUGGUCUUGACAUACACAGAAUCUUGCA
rnacentral:rRNA from 1 species